GGUAAAGAUCGGCAAGACAAAGAAAACAAAGAAGACAUAAUGGAGGUUAGUGAAGGCUCUCCUGGUCCAAUAGUGAGGUCUGCCAUUGCUGAGCUGCUCCCUACCUUGAGCUGUGAUGGUCCUCUGUCAGUGGAGGAGGUCUCUCUCUCUCCAGCAUCCUCCCAGGCACUCACACGACUGUUGGCUGGUGAUGAUGUCUGUGUGGAUGAUCGCUUCCAUGGAGACACUGUGCGACUGUGUGGGCGUGUUGUGCUACCUAGCGCAGUGCUAGCUAGUCACAGCAUAAUGAGAGGUACCUUCCUAUUGGUCAGACAAACGCUCAAUGAUCUACAAUCCUGUCUAGAGGACGGGGGGACGAGAGAUGGAGGGACAGUGCUGAGUCAGCAGUGUGUGGAGUUCCUCACAUUCAUAGAGUGCCUUGCUCACAGGUACUUGACUGCUGACAAUAGUCUCUUCAAUCGCCAGCAAGUUGGCAUGGAGUUAGUCUCACAACUGACUGGUCUGUGUGACCACCUUGGUCCACUAGAGGACCAACUGAGACUGCUCAGAACACCCUCCCCCACAGUCCCUCUCCAUCACCUCUCUCUACAGCUACACUGGACCUCACUGGCUGUACACUAUCGACUCUCCUCAAUACUAGGAGCUGCUGCCUUUGUAGAGUGUGCUUCCAGAAUAAUGAGCAGCUGUCUAAACGAGUGUACAAUGAACUUUGAAUUCUGUCCACCCCCCUUCCUCCCUUGUCCGUGCACCGCUGACCUUUGGACUCUGCUAAGACGUACCCUUGACAACAGACCCACCCUCACCAAGGGAUUCUGGGAGCUGCUCUCUGACCACCUCCUACUAGUGCUACACCAUCCGCCCACUCACUCCCAUCAUACGCCCACUCACUCCUACCCUCAAGAUGGUGCUGCACAACAUCCGGUGGUGUUUGUGUGGUGGGUGUUGUGUAGGCUGGCUCUAUUGGACAAGCCACACCCACUGACCACACCCACUCAACUCCCGGCUAAUAAUUGGUCCUUUGUGAUAGAGCAUUUGCUUCAACAGACAUUUUCUGGUGAGCUUUCGGAGGUUGAAAUGCGUGUGUGCCUGGAGUGUGCUGUGAGGCUUGUGGGGGUGUGGGAUGUGUGCCCCCAGCUCCUCUUCAAGGCCUGGGACUACACACACAAGCACAUGAAUGAUCCAUCAUCAUCAGUAGGAGGCGGCGGGCUGGAGUGGGCUCCAACCAGAGAGAGCACCACUCCAAAGCAGUGGCUUAAUCAUAUCGUCAUGGUAACUAAUCAAGACGUGCAAGGUGAUUGGUCGUCCUUUGAAUUAUUCUUAUCCAUGCUGUCGAGAGUAUUCGGUCGCCAUGGUAACACUCAAUCGCUAUGGAAACAGUUAAAGGGACGUGUAUACUCUAAAGUUCACCGUCGCUGGGUGUCCGAGCUGAGUGGGUGUGGUCUUGCGAGAGUAGCAUCACUGUACCUUGUACUCUCAUCAGUUGCUGAACAUGCGGAGGUGGGACACAAGAUGAUCUCCACUUUCCUUGCAUUAUCCAGUCAUGGUCCGCUAGUUUGGAAAGGUCUUCUAACGCUGAUUCUAUUGCUUUUGCAUCAUCACUUUACUGUGAGCGGAUUGGUCGAUAAGCUAACACCAGCUCUCUGCAAUCUGGUUGAUCAGCUCUCGUCAUGUGAUAGUGUCUGGGAUACCAUAGCAACGAUUCUAGUUGGGUCAUUGGAAGCCAUUGAGAUGCCAGAUGCAGUCAACCUUGGAGCCUGCAAUCUGAUUGGGUCACACUUGUCUACACUAUUGUCACGAGUGGAGGGAGCGAGAUUGUCUCAACUAUUGGGCAUCAUUGAGACUGUGGGGACUACGCUAUCAUCUCUGGACCACCCCCCUUCAGCGUGUUGCUUUGGUUACCUAGAGCACUGUAUCCUUGCCCUGCCCGCCCACACAUCCACACCUCCACACACACUACACAGUACAGCAGCGACUGGCACACUACUAGCUCUCCAAUGGGCAGGGAUCACAGGUCAAAGGUCAUAUCCACAGCGACUGUUUACUGAGUUUGGGUGCACAGACUCCACCCACCCCUACGUAUCCAGUGGCUACUUGUGUCACAUCAUCUCCAAUCCUCACAUGGCAGGAGAGCUAUUGUCUAGUCAGCACAAUCAGCUCUCUGCUCUACACACGUGGUUACGUUGUCUGCUUGUCUGUCAUAUCUAUCCUCUGUCAUGUGAUAGUCAUGUGACUGAACUGACACGCCUACUUCCUCGUUUACCCAUCGUUGCAUCAUUCAUUCAGGAGCCACUACCAACUGAUCCAUUAACCCUGUUGGGACUGAUACUGUCGCACAUGCGGGGGCGUCAUUAUGAGUGUGUGGGAAGUGAGUGGCGUGAGGGUGUGGAGACGAUACUGGGAGACUUACUCAAGAUAAUGACACCAUCACUACAGGCUGGACCACCUCAGGCAAUCCAGGUGUGCUAUGCAGUGGCUGGGGUGGUGGUGAGGAGCUGUGCUCAACUCAUCUAUAGUCGCAUUAAUAGUCGCUGUCUAUUACCACAACUCGUUGAUCGUCUCGUGUUACCAUUAGCAACCAACCAGUCUCCCUGUAUACGCAGUCACCUACACUAUUUCUUGGAGGGAUUGUUGUGUCUAGAUCCUCUUACUGAUGACUUCAUCAAGAGGAAGCUCCGUGAUCUCAUUGGUCGAUACUUCCUGAGCUAUUGUACUCCCUCCACUUCUCUCACAGCAUCACUCAAUCCAUUCAAGACCCUCGUAGAGCGCUGGACUGGUGACACUGUGUCUGAGCAGAGGAGAGAGCAGCUAGUGAUCCUAUUGGACACUAUCACUGCCGAGUGUCUGCAGUUACCACAGCAACCAGCAUCACUACUACAUGUACUAGUGUACAUGAGAGAGAUGGUGAGUGUGUUGCAGUGCCCUGUGUUAAUGGCUGCCGUGUGUGUGUGUCUCCUCCCCUCACUCCUGUCUUGCUUGUUGGCCUGUGAUGUGUGUACCCAGGGAACAGAGCCUAGGGGCAUCAGGAGGCAAGGUACGUCAGUAUGUAACUGGUUAUAUAUGUACACUGGGCCUAGGGGCAUCAGGAGGCAAGGUACGUCAGUAUGUAACUGGUUAUAUAUGUACACUGGGCCUAGGGGCAUCAGGAGGCAAGGUACGUCAGUAUGUAACUGGUUAUAUAUGUACACUGGGCCUAGGGGCAUCAGGAGGCAAGGUACGUCAGUAUGUAACUGGUUAUAUAUGUACACUGGGCCUAGGGGCAUCAGGAGGCAAGGUACGUCACUAUGUAACUGGUUAUAUAUGUACACUGGGCCUAGGGGCAUCAGGAGGCAAGGUAUGUCAGUAUGUACACUGGUUAUAUAUGUACACUGGGCCUAGGGGCAUCAGGAGGCAAGGUACGUCAGUAUGUAACUGGUUAUAUAUGUACACUGGGCCUAGGGGCAUCAGGAGGCAAGGUACGUCAGUAUGUAACUGGUUAUAUAUGUACACUGGGCCUAGGGGCAUCAGGAGGCAAGGUACGUCAGUAUGUAACUGGUUAUAUAUGUACACUGGGCCUAGGGGCAUCAGGAGGCAAGGUACGUCACUAUGUAACUGGUUAUAUAUGUACACUGGGCCUAGGGGCAUCAGGAGGCAAGGUAUGUCAGUAUGUACACUGGUUAUAUAUGUACACUGGGCCUAGGGGCAUCAGGAGGCAAGUGAUGAGCACGCUGCGUCCGCUGCUACAGUCAUGUGACUCCACUCACACGAUUCGAUUGAUUGAAUUGUUGCGUGUGUUUGUGUCUGGAAACAAGAGUCGUUGUGAUGCUGUCAUGACAACGCUGAGUGCCAUCCUCCCAC